rnacentral:rRNA from 1 species
GUAGGGUGCGAGCGUUAAUCGGAAUUACUGGGCGUAAAGUGUGCGCAGGCGGCCGAGCAAGUCGAGUGUGAAAGCCCCGGGCUUAACUUGGGAAUUGCGCUCGAAACUACUUGGCUGGAGUGUGGCAGAGGAAGGUGGAAUUCCACGUGUAGCGGUGAAAUGCGUAGAGAUGUGGAGGAACACCAAUGGCGAAGGCAGCCUUCUGGGCCAACACUGACGCUCAUGCACGAAAGCGUGGGGAGCAAACAGGAUUAGAUACCCUGGUAGUCCGCGCCCUAAACGAUGACGACUAGUUGUUGGAGGAGUUAAAUCCUUUAGUAACGCAGCUAACGCGCGAAGUCGUCCGCCUGGGGAGUACGGUCGCAAGAUUA